UCUUUGUGACAGAACAACACAAAGCAAUUCUCACUUUAUCUUCUUCCUCUUCUACUCACACCCCCACCACCUCAGUCCACUACCGACUCCACCGAUCGGCAGAACCAAGGCAUGCCAUCCACUUCAUUAUCUUCUAAUCCUUUCUUCCUUUAGCCUAUAUAAAGAACCUUCAUGGAAGCCCAAUCCUUUGCCUCAAUAGAGAACACUACAAGCUUAAGAUUUCAGAGAUUUCCGGGUUAGGAUCGAAGCUUCCAUUUUCGAUUAUAGUUCCAAUCACUUCCUUCAAAUUCAGAUUGCAAAGAUUUGGGACUCCAACGACCCAUUCUAUCUAAUAUUGCUUUUGACAUCGUAUUCCGACAACUUUGAUCCCAAACCCAGUUAAUAAAGUGAAGGCCAAGAGUCAUUGAGCAAGUUCUAGAGGAGUAGAGAAGCAUUAGAAUUGCAGCAUCCAAGUCUAGGAGGAAGAGGACGAUGCAACAAGGCUUGGGGGUUACUAGUUUUCCAACCUUCAAUUCUGGAAAUUCAUAGAGGAAAACCAUACCUUGACCAAAGUCGAUAACCUUCAAGCCCUCAUUUCAUUAAUUACUCAAGUUCUUCACAACUUUGUGAACCGAUUCAAGACAACCAUAAUCAUUUGCGAUAGAGCAACAAGACUUGCAACUUGGACUUUUGCUAUAUUAUCAGGUAGGGGGAGCCACCCGUUAGGGUGAGCCGGAACAUCCGGGUCAGUGGAUUUCUUUGUGUAGUACUCGUUCCUUUAUUUUAUUCUGAUAAUUAUUACUUUUUCCGCAUUUUAGUCUAUGAUUUUAAGAUUUACAGUAUUCUUAUAUUUACUAUUUUACCAAGGCUAGACUUCAUUCAUAUAUUAUAUUUCCUGAGUAGACCUCAUAGUGAAUGGAAACCUAAAAGUAGGGACACCCUUGGUGUCGAUAACUAUAAACCUCCGAAGGGGCAAUGCCAUGUUAUCAUUCUACCUUGCGCACUAUAUUUUACUUUAGUUUAUUGUAUUAAAUGGACACUCUCACUCACUUAUUGUUAUUAUUAGUAAUAAGCGUAGUUGGCCUCGACUUAAGGGGUGAUUAUAUUCCCUCUUAGCCACUAGGUUCGGUCCCCAGAUUAUAAAAAUUCUGCGGAUCAUAAACUCAUUGAUUUUUUUACUUAUAUUGGUGUUAGCAUUUGCAUAUGGAUUUCUCUACCAAUUCUAAAUCUCUUUUCAUGUUUUCAACUGCCCUGGUUGGAUUCGGCUCUUACCGAGUUAGCGAGGAUGAGUGCUCACACUCUACAAUUCAGGUCUAGUGAUAUAGCUUAGAUAAAUUUGGUUGAGAGCUGGAGACGUGGUUGUACUUGACAUUUCCCGUUCUAUUACAUUUUUCGAGAAUACGCUUCAUUUUGUGGUAAAUCGAUCUUUCUUGAUCUUCGAGUAACUUCC